UACGUAGGGUGCGAGCGUUGUCCGGAAUUACUGGGCGUAAAGAGCUCGUAGGUGGUUUGUCGCGUUGUUCGUGAAAACUCACAGCUUAACUGUGGGCGUGCGGGCGAUACGGGCAGACUAGAGUACUGCAGGGGAGACUGGAAUUCCUGGUGUAGCGGUGGAAUGCGCAGAUAUCAGGAGGAACACCGGUGGCGAAGGCGGGUCUCUGGGCAGUGGCUGACGCUGAGGCGCGACAGCGUGGGGAGCAAACAGG
rnacentral:rRNA from 1 species